rnacentral:rRNA from 1 species
GACGAACGCUGGCGGCGUGCCUAAUACAUGCAAGUCGAACGAAGCUGUUUUAACUGGUGCUUGCACCGACUUAAACAACUGAGUGGCGAACGGGUGAGUAACACGUGGGUAACCUGCCCCAAAGCAGGGGAUAACAUUUGGAAACAGAUGCUAAUACCGCAUAACCACAGAAACCACAUGGUUUCUGUGUCAAAGAUGGUUUCGGCUAUCACUUUGGGAUGGACCCGCGGCGUAUUAGCUAGUUGGUAAGGUAAUGGCUUACCAAGGCAAUGAUACGUAGCCGAACUGAGAGGUUGAUCGGCCACAUUGGGACUGAGACGCGGCCCGAACUCCUACGGGAGGCAGCAGUAGGGAAUCUUCCACAAUGGACGAAAGUCUGAUGGAGCAACGCCGCGUGAGUGAAGAAGGUUUUCGGAUCGUAAAACUCUGUUGUCAGAGAAGAACGUGUGCGAGAGUAACUGUUCGUGCAGUGACGGUAUCUGGCCAGAAAGCCACGGCUAACUACGUGCCAGCCGCCGCUGUAA